CAUGCAUCUGUCUAAUGGGGCUGAAACAUGAUAACUUAAAUAAAAAAUGAAUGCCAUAAUCACAGUUUGAACUACUGGUGAAUGAUGUAGUUGGAGAAAAGAACAAGACAAGUUGGAAACAGCGAGCAACUAUCUUUGUUUGAAGAAUGUUGACAGGGAUCUCAAUAAGCUGAACAAAGUCGUGCCAUAGUCUUCUAACUGAGCCUCAACCUUUGCUGGGACUUUGUUGAGUGUUGAGCAAGAAACAGAGAUGGAUGUAAUUGUUUUAAAGGUUGAGAAACGCUGAGAUAGACUGUUCCUGAGUUUACAGAAGUGUUAAUGUCAAUUAU